rnacentral:tRNA from 1 species
CAGAAAAUAGUUUAUUAAAAAUAUUAAUUUUGGAGAUUAAAGAUAAAGUUUCUUUUUUUCUGA